rnacentral:rRNA from 3 species
GUCUUGACCAAAUUACGUGCCAGCAGUCGCGGUAACACGUAGAAGACUAGUGUUAUUCAUCUUUAUUAGGUUUAAAGGGUACCUAGACGGAAAAUCAAGCCAUAAUAGGGACUAAUUUUCUAGAGUUUUAUGAGAGAAGGGGUGAAUUUCCGGAGGAAAGUUGAUAUUUAGUGAUACUGGAAGGACGGGUAACGGCGAAGGCAACCUUGUAUGUAAAAACUGACGUUGAGGGACGAAGCCUUGGGUAACGAGAAGGAUUAGAUACCCUAGUAGUCCUUGGAGACAAUUAUGAAUGUCAUAGGCUAGAUAAUUUAGCCUAUAAAUGAAAGUGUAAGCAUUCCACCUCAUGAGUAAAGCGGCAACGCCCAAAUUGAAAUCAUUAGACCGUUUCUGAAACCAGUAGUGAAGUAUGUUAUUUAAUUCGAUGAUCCGCGAAUAACCUUACCACAAUAUGCAUUGAAUAUUAUUCAAUUAUUACAAGCGCUGCACGGCUGUCUUCAGUUAAUGUCGUGAGAUUUUGGUUCGUUCCUUUAAUUAACGAAAACCCUUGCUUUAUUUGUUUUUAUAAAGUAGUUCACCGUGAUAUUGGAUGAGAUAAUAGGGACUAAGACAAGUCAUCAUGGCCUUAAUAGC